GACGAACGCUGGCGGCGUGCUUAACACAUGCAAGUCGAACGGAAAGGCCCUGCGUUUGUGGGGUGCUCGAGUGGCGAACGGGUGAGUAACACGGGAGUAACCUGCCCUUGACUUUGGGAUAACUUCAGGAAACUGGGGCUAAUACCGGAUAGGAGCUCCUGCUGCAUGGUGGGGGUUGGAAAGUUUCGGCGGUUGGGGAUGGACUCGCGGCUUAUCAGCUUGUUGGUGGGGUAGUGGCUUACCAAGGCUUUGACGGGUAGCCGGCCUGAGAGGGUGACCGGCCACAUUGGGACUGAGAUACGGCCCAGACUCCUACGGGAGGCAGCAGUGGGGAAUAUUGCACAAUGGGCGGAAGCCUGAUGCAGCAACGCCGCGUGCGGGAUGACGGCCUUCGGGUUGUAAACCGCUUUCGCCUGUGACGAAGCGUGAGUGACGGUAAUGGGUAAAGAAGCACCGGCUAACUACGUG
rnacentral:rRNA from 1 species